UGGUGGGAAUUUCUACUUAUUCCUUCAAUCGAAGCGUAUUUAUUGGGUACCCUUUGAGUGCCAGCCUCUUCCUCAGGGCUAGGAUAGAGGUUCCAUUUUCUUAGUGGCUUGGGCACCGGGUCAGCAGCUGAGUGAGAAGAUGGACGAGAUGGAUUGCAGCCAUUUAUUGAAAUUAAAGACAUUUUUUAAUCUUCUUGAGAUUCCAUAUCAGGCUGUCUACAAAGGCCACUGGGAGGCAGAGGAUCAUUUGAACGCAGGAGUUUGAGCUGUGGUGAGCUGCAAAGGGCUCACUACAGCCUGGGUGAGGAAAGACCCUUUCAAGGGCCAAACUGCAUGCUUGCUUGCUGUGGUCAUUAAACUCUAGUUUUUAGGUUAGCAGGUCUGCCUGUCAGAAGAUGAAAAAUUCCAUUUAAAACAGAUAUGCCUGCAUUUCUUCAAGCAUGAAUUCCAAGUCCUUUGCUUCUUUAAAACUUGCUCCACAAAUUGCUCCACACGGUGUAGUCAAGCUGACUCUCCAUACCUUUAAAAGGUCUCCAACAUCUGCACCUGAAAAAGUUUCACACCAUUUCCCAAGCAAGCCAUCCAUGGAUAAAAACGUUACCAGCAGAACCCAUAAAGCUGGUCCAGGCAAGUUGGACUCCACCAUUUCAACUUCCAGCUUUCUGUGUAAUGCCUGUGUGCCAACAGCUUGAGUUAGGCUUGCUCUUUAGGACUUCAGCAGCUAUUCUCAUCCUUCCUUUGGGACACAACUAUCCAUAAGGUGCUACUGAGAGCCACAUCGCAUCCGCACCUAGCUCCAUACCCGAUAAAACUGGCCUCCUACCUCGAAAAGCGCAAUUUUUUAAUUUUACUUUAUGUGUGUGCUUUCUGAUGAGGGCGAGUUGGCUGCAUUUGAGCUGAUAGGAAGGCCAGAAGAGAGCUCAGCUCGCUCAGGCCCAGAAGGAGGUAUAGGUUAGUAGGCUGAGGUCCCUGAGGGCUGAGGAGGUGGGAGGAUGCAGUGCUGCACCUGAGGGACCUUCUGAGCUGGUGAGGACAGGAGGCAAGAGGGAGGGGCUAGGGGGACACUUGAAUUGGCUCUGAUCCCCCCCAAAGGGAGUUGGAAAGUCAACGGAAGGGAGGGCUGCAGUCCCUUGGUGCUUCCUCCCUGGGAAGGAGCAAGUAUGAACACUCUCACUGAUGGACUAUGCAGGGAGGGGAGAGCCUGGCUCAGGGUGAGUCCAGGCAGGGCCAGUUCAAAGCAGGCUGUCCACAUACCUACCACAUGCCCUUGGUGAUUUCUCUUCUCUCCGAAACUCCUUGUCUUGUAGUUAGCAGGAAGUGGCACUUUGAGUAAGCGUCCUUUUCCUCUCCCAUCUGCCGCCUUUGUCUUCCCUCUGGACAGCUCCUGGGGUGCAGGCGCUGACAGCUGCACGGAGUUGGCCACAGGACUGGGGGAGCCCCCUUCCAUUCCAGGAUCUUGCGCUGUUGCCCAAGCUGGUGUGCAGUGAUGAAUCAGUCUCCUGGGCUCAAACCAUCCUCCCACCUCAGCCUCCCGAGUAGCUGUGACUAUAAGCACAUGCUAAUUUUUA